AUUGAACGCUGGCGGCGUGCUUAACACAUGCAAGUCGAUCGGUAACGCGGGGGCAACCCUGGCGACGAGAGGCGGACGGGUGAGGAACGCGUGGGAAUCUGCCUAUCAGCGGGGGACAACACGGGGAAACUCGUGCUAAUACCGCAUACGCUCUACGGAGGAAAGCCGGGGACCGCAAGGCCUGGCACUGAUAGAUGAGCCCAAGCCGGAUUAGCUAGUUGGCGGGGUAACGGCUCACCAAGACCGCGAUGGGUAGCUGGGCUGAGAGGACGAUCAGCCACACUGGGACUGAGACACGGCCCAGACUCCUACGGGAGGCAGCAGUGGGGAAUCUUGCGCAAUGCGCGAAAGCGUGACGCAGCAACGCCGCGUGGGGGAAGAAGGCCUUCGGGUUGUAAACCCCUUUCAGGAGGGACGAAGGUUCGGCAGUUAACAGCUGUCCGGACUGACGGUACCUCCACAAGAAGCCCCGGCUAACUACGUGCCAGCAGCCGCAGUAAGAC
rnacentral:rRNA from 1 species